rnacentral:rRNA from 1 species
GAUGAACGCUGGCGGCGUGCUUAACACAUGCAAGUCGAACGAUGAAGCCCAGCUUGCUGGGUGGAUUAGUGGCGAACGGGUGAGUAACACGUGAGUAACCUGCCCUUGACUCUGGGAUAAGCCUGGGAAACUGGGUCUAAUACUGGAUAUGACUUCUCAUCGCAUGGUGGGGGGUGGAAAGAUUUAUUGGUCUUGGAUGGACUCGCGGCCUAUCAGCUUGUUGGUGAGGUAAUGGCUCACCAAGGCGACGACGGGUAGCCGGCCUGAGAGGGUGACCGGCCACACUGGGACUGAGACACGGCCCAGACUCCUACGGGAGGCAGCAGUGGGGAAUAUUGCACAAUGGGCGCAAGCCUGAUGCAGCGACGCCGCGUGAGGGAUGACGGCCUUCGGGUUGUAAACCUCUUUCAGUAGGGAAGAAGCGAGAGUGACGGUACCUGCAGAAGAAGCGCCGGCUAACUACG